CAGCUGCGGGCUCAGAGGCUGAACCCGGGGCGUCUCCGCCAUGGCCUGGACCCCUCUCCUGCUCCCCCUGCUCACUCUCUGCACAGGCUCUGUGGCCUCCUAUGAGCUGACCCAGUCGGGCCCUUUGUCAGUGGCCCCGGGAGGGACUGCCAGCAUCACCUGCACUGGAGAUUUACUGGAUAAAAAAUACACUGACUGGUACCAGCAGAAGCCCAGCCAGGCCCCUGUGGCGGUCAUCUAUGAUGAUAGCAAGCGGCCCUCAGGGAUCCCGGACCGAUUCUCGGGCACUAGCUCUGGGAAGACAAACACCCUGACCAUCAGCGGGGUCCUGGCCGAGGACGAGGCAGACUACUACUGUCAGUCUAGUACCAGUGAUGACAAUCUCACAGUGACACAGGCAGAUGGGGAAGUGGGACAGAAACCCCGUCCCCGUCUGGGUCACACGCUCCGCCAGCCCCAGGAGAACUGUAGACAAAGCCAUGAGCAGGCCUGGCCCAGGUCUCAGAUCUCAGCUCCCCAGGCUGCCCCUCCUCCCGCCUCAGGCCACUCUGCAGGGGGUGGCACAGAGCAGGUUCACUCUGACACGAGGCGGCUUCCCUGA